UACAGAGGGUGCGAGCGUUAAUCGGAAUUACUGGGCGUAAAGCGCACGUAGGUGGCUUUGCAAGUCGAUUGUGAAAUCCCCGGGCUCAACCCGGGAACUGCAGUCGAGACUGCUUUGCUUGAGUAUGGGAGAGGGAGGUGGAAUUUCCGGUGUAGCGGUGAAAUGCGUAGAUAUCGGAAGGAACAUCAGUGGCGAAGGCGACCUCCUGGACCAAUACUGACACUCAAGUGCGAAAGCGUGGGGAGCAAACAG
rnacentral:rRNA from 1 species